CAGAAAAGCUUCACACAUGGAUUCCUUCAUACAUGGGAUAACAUGAGAUUAAUGCUCCAAGAGCUGAUGUGUUCAUUUGUGUUUUAAGUCAAGAUUAAUGGUUGGGAAGGCAGAUGUUCUUGAAGAGAUUGGAUUUGGGCUAUCUUUGCCAGAUUAGGAAUGGAAAUGGGUGCUCAAUGAGCUAGCCUGGUUGCUGUUGCCCUGUGGACUGAAUGGUGGAUCCUGCUGCUGGAUGAGGAACUCCUAUACACCCUCCCUUUGCAACAGCUUUCAGCUGAUAUAUGGUGACACUUGCUGGGAUUUUCAAGAGACUAACAACCCUGGUCUCCUUUGGAGGUCUCCCAUCCAAUUACUAACCGAGGCUGACCCUACUUAGCUUCUGAGAUAUGGCUUGCCUGCGCUAUCCAGAUACCUAGAAGGAAAAAAGGAAGAAAGGCAAGGAAAGAUAAACUAAAAAUGAAUCCAAACAAACACUUCAAAUUUAAACAUUUGUUGC